AUAAAGUAACAACUAGGCAAACAAAUAAAAUUACAAAUAAAUUGAAUAUUGCUACAAGAUUAAGAGAACGCAAUACAUACCCACCAUUAAAUUAUCGGACUGGAGAACGUGUCGAUUCUAAACAAAAAAAAGCAGUCUACACAAAAAGCAACACUCUAAAGUGUUCUAAAGAUGCUAAUACUUCACGUAAAAUKAUGG